AUUGAACGCUGGCGGCAUGCCUUACACAUGCAAGUCGAACGGCAGCGGGCCCUUCGGGGUGCCGGCGAGUGGCGAACGGGUGAGUAAUGCAUCGGAACGUACCCGGGAGAGGGGGAUAACCGGCCGAAAGGCUGGCUAAUACCGCAUGAACUCGGAAGAGCAAAGCGGGGGACCUUCGGGCCUCGCGCUCUCGGAGCGGCCGAUGUCCGAUUAGGCUAGUUGGUGGGGUAAAGGCCCACCAAGGCGACGAUCGGUAGCGGGUCUGAGAGGACGAUCCGCCACACUGGGACUGAGACACGGCCCAGACUCCUACGGGAGGCAGCAGUGGGGAAUCUUGGACAAUGGGCGCAAGCCUGAUCCAGCAAUGCCGCGUGGGUGAAGAAGGCCUUCGGGUUGUAAAGCCCUUUCAGCGGGGAAGAAAUCGGUCAGGCGAAUAGUCUGGCUGGAUGACGGUACCCGCAGAAGAAGCACCGGCUAACUACGUG
rnacentral:rRNA from 1 species